rnacentral:rRNA from 1 species
GACGAACGCUGGCGGCGUGCUUAACACAUGCAAGUCGAACGGGGCUUGCCCUUUGGGGUGGGUUUAGUGGCGAACGGGUGAGUAACACGUGGGUAACCUGCCCUCAGCUCUGGGAUAACUCCGGGAAACCGGGGCUAAUACUGGAUAUGACUACUGGUGACAUCGCCUGGGUGGUGGGAAAAGAUUUUUUGGUCUGAGGAGUGGGCCCGGCCGGCCUAUCAGCUUGUUGGGU